rnacentral:rRNA from 1 species
AGCGGCGGACGGGUGAGUAAUACGUGGGUAACCUGCCUGUAAGACUGGGAUAACUCCGGGAAACCGGAGCUAAUACCGGAUAGUUCCUUGAACCGCAUGGUUCAAGGAUGAAAGACGGUUUCGGCUGUCACUUACAGAUGGACCCGCGGCGCAUUAGCUAGUUGGUGAGGUAACGGCUCACCAAGGCGACGAUGCGUAGCCGACCUGAGAGGGUGAUCGGCCACACUGGGACUGAGACACGGCCCAGACUCCUACGGGAGGCAGCAGUAGGGAAUCUUCCGCAAUGGACGAAAGUCUGACGGAGCAACGCCGCGUGAGUGAUGAAGGUUUUCGGAUCGUAAAGCUCUGUUGUUAGGGAAGAACAAGUGCAAGAGUAACUGCUUGCACCUUGACGGUACCUAACCAGAAAGCCACGGCUAACUACGUGCCAGCAGCCGCGGUAAUACGUAGGUGGCAAGCGUUGUCCGGAAUUAUUGGGCGUAAAGGGCUCGCAGGCGGUUUCUUAAGUCUGAUGUGAAAGCCCCCGGCUCAACCGGGGAGGGUCAUUGGAAACUGGGAAACUUGAGUGCAGAAGAGGAGAGUGGAAUUCCACGUGUAGCGGUGAAAUGCGUAGAGAUGUGGAGGAACACCAGUGGCGAAGGCGACUCUCUGGUCUGUAACUGACGCUGAGGAGCGAAAGCGUGGGGAGCGAACAGGAUUAGAUACCCUGGUAGUCCACGCCGUAAACGAUGAGUGCUAAGUGUUAGGGGGUUUCCGCCCCUUAGUGCUGCAGUUAACGCAUUAAGCACUCCGCCUGGGGAGUACGGUCGCAAGACUGAAACUCAAAGGAAUUGACGGGGGCCCGCACAAGCGGUGGAGCAUGUGGUUUAAUUCGAAGCAACGCGAAGAACCUUACCAGGUCUUGACAUCCUCUGACAACCCUAGAGAUAGGGCUUUCCCUUCGGGGACAGAGUGACAGGUGGUGCAUGGUUGUCGUCAGCUCGUGUCGUGAGAUGUUGGGUUAAGUCCCGCAACGAGCGCAACCCUUGAUCUUAGUUGCCAGCAUUCAGUUGGGCACUCUAAGGUGACUGCCGGUGACAAACCGGAGGAAGGUGGGGAUGACGUCAAAUCAUCAUGCCCCUUAUGACCUGGGCUACACACGUGCUACAAUGGACAGAACAAAGGGCUGCGAGACCGCAAGGUUUAGCCAAUCCCACAAAUCUGUUCUCAGUUCGGAUCGCAGUCUGCAACUCGACU